GAUGAACGCUGGCGGCGUGCUUAACACAUGCAAGUCGAACGGAGUGCUAAUGAACGAGUUUUCGGACAAGGGAUUUAGUUACUUAGUGGCGGACGGGUGAGUAACGCGUGAGUAACCUGCCUUGGAGUGGGGAAUAACACAUGGAAACGUGUGCUAAUACCGCAUAAAGCAUUUUGGUCGCAUGGCCAUGAAUGCCAAAAGAUUUAUCGCUCUGAGAUGGACUCGCGUCUGAUUAGCUAGUUGGUGGGUAAAGGCCUACCAAGGCGACGAUCAGUAGCCGGACUGAGAGGUUGACCGGCCACAUUGGGACUGAGACACGGCCCAGACUCCUACGGGAGGCAG
rnacentral:rRNA from 1 species